UUUUUCUGUUUGGUCCUUCGAUCACUUGACACUAUUGGUAAGCUCAUUAUCUAUUCCACCUUAGAUGUUCAUAAUUCAACUCUAACUGCUCUUGUAUAUCAUCAUAGAUUUACCUUCGUAAACUCUGUUUUAUUUCUAAUGCAUGCUUUUUCAUGACUUUCAGUGAAUAGCAAAAUGAAGCAUAGAUUACCAGUUGCAGCUCCUAAACUCAAGAUUUUAUCCAAUCUCGCCAACAUAAAUAUGAACAAUUUGACUGUUUUGGACUUUCUAGCAAGCUUAAGAAUGUACCUGUACAAGUACAACUUUGUUCUGCAUAUACAUCUAUAUGUAUGAUGUACUUUAUGUUAAUAUUAAACACAUUACGCCAAUAUUUAGCUUUGUGGUA
rnacentral:lncRNA from 1 species